CCGCGCUCCCGGCCCGGAGAGGCGUUGCUGCAGCCACCGCCGCCGCCGCUACCUCCGCCGCCCCGGACAUGCCGAAACACGAGUUCUCCGUGGACAUGACCUGUGAAGGCUGCGCUGAAGCCGUCUCUCGGGUCCUCAACAAGCUGGGAGGAGUUAAGUAUGACGUUGAUCUCCCCAAGAAGAAGGUUUCCAUUGAAUCUGAGCACAGCAUGGAUACUCUGCUGGCGACCCUGAGGAAAACAGGAAAGACCGUUUCCUACCUCGGCCCCGAGUAACAAGGGCCUGGGCCCCCUGGCCAGCAAGAUGGACCAAAGGGGCCAGUGUCACCAUGUCUGCAGCAGAUGGCGCCUUUUCAUCUCUCCUGGGAUGCUGAUCCUCCUGGCUUCCAGACAGACCUGGGACUUGGCAGUCCUACUCAGCGAUGACGUGUCUGCAAAGACCCUCACUUACCCCGCUCCUUCCUAGCUUCCCUGCAAUAAAGUCAAGCUGCUUUU